GAUGACAUUUGAACUGCGAUCUGAAGGUUUAGGCCAGCAUGUCUGGAAUAUGGUGCAAGAGAGGGGAAGAGGUGAAGAUGAGAUUGGAGAAGGAGCAAAGGGCCAGAUCAUGUAGGACAGUACAGCUCAAGCAUGAACCUGCAAGAAACUCCCCUUACUGAUGAUGUUGUUGUUUGAUUUACAGAUGGAUAUUACUUGGCAGGUGAGUCUGGAACUUAUACAGGUUGUGCUAUCAUAUCUGUAGCUGAAGAAAUAGAAAGUGCUUAUCUUUCGAAGCAACCUCAGCUCAACAAACAAUUGAUAGCAUUAAUUAGCAGAAUAACUGCUAAUGCACAGAUAGCAGAUAGCCUUUGGAGUAGCUCAUGACUUUGAAAUGCUACAAAGAGGGUUCUUAGCCUCUCCUGGUCAGUCCAUAAAAAUGGGCACCCUGUGUUGCAAUUAUUAAAAGCCAUAUUAUUACCCAGAUCACUAGCUAUUAUUAAAUUCCCAGGUCACUCCAAAUCAGAUACUCCAAAAAAAA
rnacentral:lncRNA from 1 species